GGCGGCCAACUCGGUAGUAAAACAUCCUUUUCUUUUUUAAACGGGGGGCGGGGCGGGCGCAGGGUGGGGCCGGGUCGUAAAUCCUCUUUCUUUGGGCUCCCUCCUUCCCAGCUUGUCCCCGGCGCCCGCGGUUCGCGGUUCGGGUGGAUCUGCGGGUACAAGCAGGAAAUCCGUGGUGGCUGCGUGAACAGCCUUACCCAGGGGCGGCCUUGGAAGACGGGAGCGGGGGGCAAAGCACUGUGCAGGGCGUCUGAUCAUCUACUUUGGUGGAAGUGGCCCAAUGACAAGGUAUAGGGCCCUGGGGAGAGAUGAAUGGCCAGGGGUCUGGAAAGAGGGAGACCAGUAAGUCCCCGAGGGGUGGGUGGGGCAGAAAGCCACCAACAGUCUCAAACAGGCAAGUGAUCCGAACAAGAUGUGGACUGCCUACAAAAUAAAAAUCCAGGGUGACGAGGCCACUGAAUGCCAGAAAAAAAAGUGGCUCGGGAAAACAACCCGCAUUUGCCCACAUAUUUUGGGAUUAAGAGUCCACGGACGGGCAGAAGGAAAGGCCAGGCAGUCAGGGGGCAGUGAGGGCGCGGGAGCAGCAGAAGCGAAACCCCGAAACCCGGCGCGGAGCAAAGACCCGAACCUGAGCGGAUACCCCCGGGACUGCACUAAUUGGCAGCACGACAAGGAGGGACAUGGGGUUGGGUGUCCGGGUUCAACGCCACCCUGGAGGAAGCCCCAAGUAUCCCUCAACUUACUAGAUACUGGCUGUAGUUGUGUGGCUGCGUGAGCAUCUUGUUUUUUGGUCUGGACUCUGUGCGUGGCUCUUUGGCAAGAAUCUGCUCACAGGACACACUCCCUGCGACCCCUAUUGGUGGCUCCUAGAAGGCUCAGAGGCCGAGCCAAGAACGGUGUUCGUCCACAGAGCUUCCCAAGCAUGACCUGGAGAGGCGCCUUUUCCUGGAAGAAGAGAAAGUACGUUGUCUUCUCCCACAAGGUUUCCUAUAGCCAGAGGGCCACGCGAAGCUCCACAGAUGCCUUUAAGUGGAACACCUUUGCCAGCCACGGGAGCUGAAAGACCGUGGUCAUGGCCAUUUCCACAGUGCCUGACAUUAUCAAAGUGAAUGAAUGUGUUGUCAUACCUCGUUCUGCAAUCUACAGCAUUGCUACUACUUUGUUUUUAGAUCUCCUUGUUAGGGCCGGGGGCAGGGAUAUGGAGUGAGGGAGCUGUCUUCACCUGACAGCAUACACUCACACUGCUCUGAAUUCUCCGGUGACAGAGCAUCAGUGCAUGGGACACAGCUAGUGUAAUGUGCACUUCUGGUGGUUCUGGCAGCAUUUCCAUAAUGGCUCCACAGAGAAAACUGCGUUAGUUGCAUUACAUGCCACCCAAGCACAGCUGCUGAAAGACAGAUGGGCUUGAAAUGAGGACGGAAUCCAAGUGUCCUGCCUUCCAAGUGACCGUCUUGGAAGCCGUGUCACAGCUCGAGGAGCUAUUUACAAUCAAGUUAGAACAAACUGGGUGCCUGUGGCUCAGGCAGUUAAGCGUCUGCCUUCAGCUCAGGUUGUGAUCCCAGAGUCCUGGGAGGAGUCCCGCAUCACAGCAGGGAGCCUGCUUCUCCCUCUGCUUCUUUCUCUCAUGACUAAAUGAAUAAAAUCUUAAAAAAAAAAAAAAAAAAAAA
rnacentral:lncRNA from 1 species